rnacentral:rRNA from 1 species
UCUCGCGUCAAGAUAUGCCUAGGUGGGAUUAGCUAGUUGGUGAGGUAAUGGCUCACCAAGGCAACGAUCCCUAGCUGGUCUGAGAGGAUGAUCAGCCACACUGGAACUGAGACACGGUCCAGACUCCUACGGGAGGCAGCAGUGGGGAAUAUUGCACAAUGGGCGCAAGCCUGAUGCAGCCAUGCCGCGUGUAUGAAGAAGGCCUUCGGGUUGUAAAGUACUUUCAGUCGUGAGGAAGGUUCAUACGUUAAUAGCGUAUGGAUUUGACGUUAGCGACAGAAGAAGCACCGGCUAACUCCGUGCCAGCAGCCGCGGUAAUACGGAGGGUGCGAGCGUUAAUCGGAAUUACUGGGCGUAAAGCGCAUGCAGGUGGUUCGUUAAGUCAGAUGUGAAAGCCCGGGGCUCAACCUCGGAACUGCAUUUGAAACUGGCGGACUAGAGUACUGUA